rnacentral:rRNA from 1 species
ACAACAUUAAAUGAGCUUUUUAGAACUCAUCAUUAAUUUGAGAGUUUGAUCCUGGCUCAGGACGAACGCUGGCGGCGUGCCUAAUACAUGCAAGUCGAACGAACUCUGGUAUUGAUUGGUGCUUGCAUCAUGAUUUACAUUUGAGUGAGUGGCGAACUGGUGAGUAACACGUGGGAAACCUGCCCAGAAGCGGGGGAUAACACCUGGAAACAGAUGCUAAUACCGCAUAACAACUUGGACCGCAUGGUCCGAGCUUGAAAGAUGGCUUCGGCUAUCACUUUUGGAUGGUCCCGCGGCGUAUUAGCUAGAUGGUGGGGUAACGGCUCACCAUGGCAAUGAUACGUAGCCGACCUGAGAGGGUAAUCGGCCACAUUGGGACUGAGACACGGCCCAAACUCCUACGGGAGGCAGCAGUAGGGAAUCUUCCACAAUGGACGAAAGUCUGAUGGAGCAACGCCGCGUGAGUGAAGAAGGGUUUCGGCUCGUAAAACUCUGUUGUUAAAGAAGAACAUAUCUGAGAGUAACUGUUCAGGUAUUGACGGUAUUUAACCAGAAAGCCACGGCUAACUACGUGCCAGCAGCCGCGGUAAUACGUAGGUGGCAAGCGUUGUCCGGAUUUAUUGGGCGUAAAGCGAGCGCAGGCGGUUUUUUAAGUCUGAUGUGAAAGCCUUCGGCUCAACCGAAGAAGUGCAUCGGAAACUGGGAAACUUGAGUGCAGAAGAGGACAGUGGAACUCCAUGUGUAGCGGUGAAAUGCGUAGAUAUAUGGAAGAACACCAGUGGCGAAGGCGGCUGUCUGGUCUGUAACUGACGCUGAGGCUCGAAAGUAUGGGUAGCAAACAGGAUUAGAUACCCUGGUAGUCCAUACCGUAAACGAUGAAUGCUAAGUGUUGGAGGGUUUCCGCCCUUCAGUGCUGCAGCUAACGCAUUAAGCAUUCCGCCUGGGGAGUACGGCCGCAAGGCUGAAACUCAAAGGAAUUGACGGGGGCCCGCACAAGCGGUGGAGCAUGUGGUUUAAUUCGAAGCUACGCGAAGAACCUUACCAGGUCUUGACAUACUAUGCAAAUCUAAGAGAUUAGACGUUCCCUUCGGGGACAUGGAUACAGGUGGUGCAUGGUUGUCGUCAGCUCGUGUCGUGAGAUGUUGGGUUAAGUCCCGCAACGAGCGCAACCCUUAUUAUCAGUUGCCAGCAUUAAGUUGGGCACUCUGGUGAGACUGCCGGUGACAAACCGGAGGAAGGUGGGGAUGACGUCAAAUCAUCAUGCCCCUUAUGACCUGGGCUACACACGUGCUACAAUGGAUGGUACAACGAGUUGCGAACUCGCGAGAGUAAGCUAAUCUCUUAAAGCCAUUCUCAGUUCGGAUUGUAGGCUGCAACUCGCCUACAUGAAGUCGGAAUCGCUAGUAAUCGCGGAUCAGCAUGCCGCGGUGAAUACGUUCCCGGGCCUUGUACACACCGCCCGUCACACCAUGAGAGUUUGUAACACCCAAAGUCGGUGGG